AAAUGCGUGAUUUUCGUGUGCAAGGUGGUACUUUCGGGAAGAAAAUGUGUGAUUUCCGUGAGAAAAGUGGUAGUUCUGGAGAGAAAACGCGUGAUUUUGGGGUGAAUGGUGCUAUUUUCUUGGCGAAAACGUGAUAUUUCUGUUUGAGAAGUGGUAUUUUCUGGAGGAAAAAGCGUAAUUUUCGACUGAAAGGGUACUUUCGGGGUGAAAAUGCGUGCUUUGUGAGUGAAGCGUGUUAUAUUUGGGGUAGAAAUGUGUUAUUUCCCAGCGAAAAGUGGUAUUUUCGGGAAGGAAGUGCAGAAUUUUUGGGAGACAGGUGGUAUUUUUGGAUGAAAAUGCAUGAUUUUCGAGAGAAAAGUGGUAUUUCUCGAGAGAAAAUGCGUGAUUUUGGGGUGAAAGGCGGUAUAUUUGGGGGAGAAAUGUGUUAUUUCCCAGCGAAAAGUGGUAUUUUCGGGAAGGAAGUGCAGAAUUUUUGGGAGACAGGUGGUAUUUUUGGAUGAAAAUGCAUGAUUUUCGAAAGAAAAUGGUAUUUAUCGGGAGAAAAUGCGUGAUUUUGGGGUGAAACGUGGUAUAUUUGGGGGAGAAAUGUGUUAUUUCCCAGCCAAAAGUGGUAUUUUCGGGUAGAAAAUGCGUGAUGUUUGGACAGAGGUGCGUUUUUUCGGGGGAAAUGCGUGAUUUUUGGGUGAAAAGGGGCAUUUACGGUAAGGAAAUGCAUUAUUUUCUGGCGACAUGGGGAAUUUACGAAGGGAAAAUGCGU
ensembl:lncRNA